CUGAAUCUGAAUCAAAUUUGAUUAGAUCAGAUCCAGAGCCCAAUGUACCUACACCAUUAAGGCAAUCUGGUAGAGUACCACGUCAGUCAAACAGAUACUAUGAUUUCUUGGUCCGAGAUGGUGAUCCCAUCGAACUCGAUGAGAAUGAUGAAAAUCGAUCACCUAUAUGGAUGCAAUGCAGAGAUCUAAUUCUGAAAAAUGGCUUGAAGUCAUGAAAUCUGAAAUAGAGUCUAUGAAGGUCAACAAUGUAUGCACAUUGGU
rnacentral:lncRNA from 1 species